UCAUAACUUUAUUUUCUUGCCGUCAGAUUCACGAGAGAGCGCUUCUUGGCUUCAUCUUAUUCACAGUUGCUCUCACUCUCUUAACUCAAUCUUCUCGGAAUCUUCCUCUUCCUUCUUCAAGUUUAUGCAGGCCCUAAACUAGUCCAGUGUACAUCUCCAAGCUCUCUUAUCCGACGCUUCGACCAAAACACUCAACCAAUCCUUGUUCUCCUCCGAUUUGGGUUUUGGCUUGUCACUUAACCAGUCCAGUAUACAUCCUUGCAAGCUUCAUAGCAAGCUAGAUUCAUUGUUCUGUUGGCUAAGCCUCAAGGUGAUUCUGAAGAAGAAGAAUAAGAAUAAGAGAAGGAAGGUGAAUUUGAAGAAGAAGGUGGAAGAAAGAAGAGAAGGAAGUGAGAUUAAGUGAAUGAAUGAAGCAAGUUUAAUUCUAAAUUUAAGUAUAUUUUAUAAGACAUGAAGUUUAACUCUAAGUUUAAGUACCUUUAUGUAAAACAUGAAGUUUGAGUCAACGUAUCUUUUGUAAAACAUGAAGUUUAAUUAAAGUUUAAGAUGUUA